GGGAAUAUUGGACAAUGGGCGAAAGCCUGAUCCAGCCAUGCCGCGUGUGUGAAGAAGGUCUUCGGAUUGUAAAGCACUUUAAGUUGGGAGGAAGGGCAGUAAGCGAAUACCUUGCUGUUUUGACGUUACCGACAGAAUAAGAACCGGAUAACUCUGUGCCAGCAGCCGCGGUAAUACAGAGGGUGCAAGCGUUAAUCGGAAUUACUGGGCGUAAAGCGCGCGUAGGUGGUUUGUUAAGUUGGAUGUGAAAGCCCCGGGCUCAACCUGGGAACUGCAUCCAAAACUGGCAAGCUAGAGUACAGUAGAGGGUGGUGGAAUUUCCUGUGUAGCGGUGAAAUGCGUAGAUAUAGGAAGGAACACCAGUGGCGAAGGCGACCACCUGGACUGAUACUGACACUGAGGUGCGAAAGCGUGGGGAGCAAACAGG
rnacentral:rRNA from 1 species